UACGGAGGAUCCGAGCGUUAUCCGGAUUUAUUGGGUUUAAAGGGAGCGUAGGCGGGUUGUUAAGUCAGUUGUGAAAGUUUGCGGCUCAACCGUAAAACUGCAGUUGAUACUGGCAUCCUUGAGUACAGUAGAGGUAGGCGGAAUUCGUGGUGUAGCGGUGAAAUGCUUAGAUAUCACGAAGAACUCCGAUUGCGAAGGCAGCCUGCUGGACUGUAACUGACGCUGAUGCUCGAAAGUGUGGGUAUCAAACAGG
rnacentral:rRNA from 1 species